rnacentral:lncRNA from 1 species
UCCCCAACAAUACCUGAAGGACUCUCUCUCAUUUUGGAAAAACAUUCAGGCCUCAUCACAAAAUAUAGAGGCUUAGUGCAAGGUUUUAAGUCAGAUGCUGAAUGAGAUCGCAAACAACCAGAGGCCUCAAAAGGAUUGCAAAGAUGUUGUCAUUGAAAGUGACAAAGUUCUAGAUGAGGAAAGAUAAAAGGAAUAAAAGAGAGAGGAUGAGAGAAAAAUAGAGAGAAAAGGAGAAGAGAGUUUGAGUGAUGAGGAGCAAGAAGAAGAGAAAGAGAAAGAGAUAAAAGUAGAGAGAGAGAAGAAAAAUAAAGUUUUUUGAGUGAAGAAGAGAAAGUGGUAAAAAAGGAAGAAGUAGAGAGAGAAAAGAAAAGUCAUGUGUGCCUUAAAGCAUAUCCUAAGGAAAAGAAAAAGGGGAACGAUGGAAACAAAAAGAAAGAAUCAUAUGAAAACCCCCCUCCUCACCCAAAGAAGGAUCAUAGGAAGAAAAAGGAAAAAUAAUUUGAGUAUUUCAUGGAAAUCUUCAAGAAAUUGGAGAUUAAAGUUCCCAUGAUUGGGACACUACAACAGGUUCCUGGUUAUAUUAAGUUCCUAAAAAAAUUCAACCAAAAGAAAAAAAUAUCUUGAAUCCAGUUUCUGAAUUUUUUAUCUUUUAUUUUGUUUUAUUUUAUUUUAUUUUAUUUUAUUUCUUUUAUUUGAUUUUAUUUUUUUUAGUGAUUUUAUUUAAUUUUAUUUGAUUUACUUAUGUUUUAUUUUAUUUGAUUUGAUUUUAUUUUAUUUUAUUUUAUUUGAUUUUAUUUUAUUUUAUUUUAUUUUAUUUCAUUUGGUCUUAUUUGAUUUGAUAUGAUCUUUUAUUUUAUUUUAUUUUUUUAUGUGAUUUUAUUUAAUUUAAUUUGAUUUUAUUUUAUUUCAUUUCAUUUAAUUUGAUUUUAUUUUAUUUUAUUUGAUUUUAUUUGAUUUUAUUUCAUCUUAUUUUAUUUUAUUUCAUUUCAUCUUAUUUGAUUUGAUUUCGUUUUAUUUUAUUUUAUUUUAUUUAUUUUAUUUUAUUAUCUUUUAUUUUGUUUAUUUUAUUUUAUUUUAUAUUAUUUCUUUUGAUUUUAUUUUUUUAUGUGAUUUUAUUUAAUUUGAUUUGAUUUGAUUUUGUUUUAUUUUAUUUCAUUUUAUUUGAUUUGAUUUUAUUUUAUUUUAUUUUAUUUGAUUUUGAUUUUAUUUUAUUUUAUCUAAUUUUAUUUUAUUUCAUUUGAUCUUAUUUGAUUUGAUUUGAUCUGAUCUUUUAUUUGAUUUUAUUUUUUUAUGUGAUUUUAUUUAAUUUGAUUUUAUUUUAUUUUAUUUUAUUUUAUUUCAUCUUAUUUUAUUUUAUUUCAUUUGAUCUUAUUUGAUUUCAUUUCAUUUUGUUUUGUUUUAUUUUAUUUUGUUUUGUUUUGUUAUACUUUAUUUUAUUUUUAUUUUUAUGUUUUUUUUCUCUUUUCUUCUUUUAUUUUAUUAUUUGUGUGAUUUUCAUUUGAUU